UUACAUAGAAAGGAUUUGAACCUAUUCCUUAAAUAUCAAAAACUUACGUGCACAUACACCACCAUGUA
rnacentral:tRNA from 1 species